rnacentral:rRNA from 1 species
AGUGAACGCUGGCGGUAGGCCUAACACAUGCAAGUCGAACGGCAGCACAGUAAGAGCUUGCUCUUACGGGUGGCGAGUGGCGGACGGGUGAGGAAUACAUCGGAAUCUACUUUUUCGUGGGGGAUAACGUAGGGAAACUUACGCUAAUACCGCAUACGACCUACGGGUGAAAGCAGGGGAUCUUCGGACCUUGCGCGAUUGAAUGAGCCGAUGUCGGAUUAGCUAGUUGGCGGGGUAAAGGCCCACCAAGGCGACGAUCCAUAGCUGGUCUGAGAGGAUGAUCAGCCACACUGGAACUGAGACACGGUCCAGACUCCUACGGGAGGCAGCAGUGGGGAAUAUUGGACAAUGGGCGCAAGCCUGAUCCAGCCAUACCGCGUGGGUGAAGAAGGCCUUCGGGUUGUAAAGCCCUUUUGUUGGGAAAGAAAAGCAGCAGGUUAAUACCCCGCUGUUCUGACGGUACCCAAAGAAUAAGCACCGGCUAACUUCGUGC